rnacentral:rRNA from 1 species
UACGUAGGGUGCGAGCGUUGUCCGGAAUUAUUGGGCGUAAAGAGCUCGUAGGCGGUCUGUCGCGUCUGCUGUGAAAUCCCGGGGCUCAACUCCGGAUCUGCGGUGGGUACGGGCAGACUAGAGUGAUGUAGGGGAGACUGGAAUUCCUGGUGUAGCGGUGAAAUGCGCAGAUAUCAGGAGGAACACCGAUGGCGAAGGCAGGUCUCUGGGCAUUAACUGACGCUGAGGAGCGAAAGCAUGGGGAGCGAACAGG